GACGAACGCUGGCGGCGUGCUUAACACAUGCAAGUCGAACGGAAAGGCCCUGCUUUUGUGGGGUGCUCGAGUGGCGAACGGGUGAGUAACACGUGAGUAACCUGCCCUUGACUUUGGGAUAACUUCAGGAAACUGGGGCUAAUACCGGAUAGGAGCUCCUGCUGCAUGGUGGGGGUUGGAAAGUUUCGGCGGUUGGGGAUGGACUCGCGGCUUAUCAGCUUGUUGGUGGGGUAGUGGCUUACCAAGGCUUUGACGGGUAGCCGGCCUGAGAGGGUGACCGGCCACAUUGGGACUGAGAUACGGCCCAGACUCCUACGGGAGGCAGCAGUGGGGAAUAUUGCACGAUGGGCGGAAGCCUGAUGCAGCAACGCCGCGUGCGGGAUGACGGCCUUCGGGUGGUAAACCGCUUUCGCCUGUGACGAAGCGUGAGUGACGGUAAUGGGUAAAGAAGCACCGGCUAACUACGUG
rnacentral:rRNA from 1 species